AUUGAACGCUGGCGGCAUGCCUUACACAUGCAAGUCGAACGGCAGCACGGGUGCUUGCACCUGGUGGCGAGUGGCGAACGGGUGAGUAAUACAUCGGAACAUGUCCUGUAGUGGGGGAUAGCCCGGCGAAAGCCGGAUUAAUACCGCAUACGAUCUACGGAUGAAAGCGGGGGACCUUCGGGCCUCGCGCUAUAGGGUUGGCCGAUGGCUGAUUAGCUAGUUGGUGGGGUAAAGGCCUACCAAGGCGACGAUCAGUAGCUGGUCUGAGAGGACGACCAGCCACACUGGGACUGAGACACGGCCCAGACUCCUACGGGAGGCAGCAGUGGGGAAUUUUGGACAAUGGGCGAAGGCCUGAUCCAGCAAUGCCGCGUGUGUGAAGAAGGCCUUCGGGUUGUAAAGCACUUUUGUCCGGAAAGAAAUCCUUGGCUCUAAUACAGCCGGGGGAUGACGGUACCGGAAGAAUAAGCACCGGCUAACUACGUG
rnacentral:rRNA from 1 species